UAUGACUCGGUCCCAAAGGUCCCAGCACUUGCUCUCAGCCCUGUCCUUCCCCAGAGCCCCUCAUCGUUACUCCAGUCAUCACAUGUCCUCCUCCUGUUCUGGGACCAGACCCGUUUACCUCUGGCAAGGAGGAGCCAUAAUGGCAAUCAGCCAUUUCCAAGCUGUAAUCAUACCCCGAACCUCAUCCCCAGAACUCACAACACUGAGACGCUACUCCCGCGCUGUGGACCCCAUGACUCUGGGUUCU
rnacentral:lncRNA from 1 species